UGCGCGUGCGCCGGAGCGUGCGUGCAUGCGUGCGUGCGCGCGCAUCCGCCGCCUAGAAUCUGCCACGUUCCGGCCCAGCGAAACCCUGACAGGAUUCCCUGCGUCUGCGCGGGGACUGUGAAGGGCACAGCAAGGCUGCACUGCCUCCAAACAGCAGAAAGCCCCUCUUUGAAGAGCUUGGUCCUCCUCACAUCGUCUUUCCAAGGCAGGGACUUCUCUCCUCAGAGGAUAUUCUGAAGCAGCUCUGCCCUGAGGGGAUUAGGGCUGGGGGCAGCCUAAUCGCAUUCUUGGAGGAAACUGCAUGGUUAUUUGAAAAGCUUGACACCUGCUUAAGCAAAAGACUGGAAAAAGAACAAGAGGCAGCUUCCGUAGUUAGAAAGCCCAUCUGGGUCACCGUAAGCCAAGUUUUUGGGAUGGAAAGAUGCAGCAGGAAGCAUGGCUUGAAUCGCCAAGGCAUUUGCCUCAGUGAUGUCCUCUCACCUUGAACUUGAAGUCUGGAUGCUGGAAGCGCCCGGGUUCCUAAAGAGCCUGACUGACCUUCUGCUGGUGACUGUCCUGCCUUCAGUUUCCACGUUCUCAUUUGGCAGACAGAAGCCUCAGAUCAUCUGCCUCUGUGAUUGUGAGCCCUGGUUCUGAGAGAAUGCACUGAACUGAUCACAUUCUGUUAUGAUCCUUGUGGUUCUCACGCUUGAAUAAGAAAGAAUCUUGCAUUCAGUGCCUAGCUGGCUGGCCAGGCUGGGUCUCUGGGAGGAUCUCCCUCAUGAAAGCGAGGCUGACUGCUGGCCCUCCCUGCCACCUCCACCCUUGCAACCUGGCUGAGCAAACAGAAUCGCCCUCCCCAGUACAGGUGGGCAUAAUCCAGUUUUUUGAAGGUCUGAAUGGACCAAAAAGGCAGAGGCAGGGCAAAUUUGCUCUCUCCUGAGCUGGGACAUCAUCUUCUCCUGCCUUUGGACAUUCAUGUUCCUGGUUCUCAGGCCUUUGGACUUGGACAGAGACUUGCCUAGUUGGUUUGCUGGUUUUAAGGCCUUUGGGCUCGGGUGGUAUCUGCACCAUCAGCUCUCCUUGGCCUCCAACUUGCAUUUGGAAGAUCAUUGGACACGUCAGCCAACAUAUUCAACUGAAGCCAAUCCUUCCUUAUCUUUUUCUAUAUAUCUGAAAAACAACCAACAAAAAACCGUGGUAUGAUUUCCAAACAAUUCCUGGAUGGCCCUCAGUUAGAAUCUGUCUUUUAACAGUUUCUCUGGGGGAUUGUGAGGCCACUGGCCAGAGGAUGGCAGUUUGAGAACCACAGCCUUGGGAGUUUGCUGGGGCUACCCACACCACAUUUUGCAUACCGUCAAGGCUUGCCUUUGGGGAAUGAUUUAAUUCACUUCACACAUCUGGCUUGUCUAGGCAAGCUCCCUGCAGUACCUUCCAGGGGACCCCCUGCUACUCACUAGCUGCCCACCAACUUUGGAAUACUAGUAGGAAAUGUCUUUGACUGUAGGAAAGCUUGAUUCUCAAAAUGUGGUUCCUAAGGCAUCAGGAACAGCACCUAGAACUUGCUUGAAAUGCUGGUUCAUGGGCCCUACCCAUGAAUCCCCUAUCUCGGGAUUCUGCAGCUCAGGGGCAGGAGCCCUCUUGUGACAGGCAGUGGAACAGACCAACCAGACGGAACAGACCCUGGAAUCUAUCCAUUGGCCCGCUUUGGACUGGAAGGGGUUGGAGGUGGGGGUAACUCUCCACUCGCCCAAGUGUGCAGGUGCUGAGACUUUAUGAAGCUCCCACUAGGAAUGCUGAUUGUUUAUUCUCUCCUCUAACAUGCCCCCUCACCUACACCCAGUUAUUUCUAGCUGAGAGGCAGGUUUGGUGUUUCUGACUCAAUUCAUUCUUGUACUGAACAAAUAAAUGCUCAACAGCUAUCAUGUGCCAUCACUCUUCUGGGUACUGGGAUAUACUGCUAGGACUGUGCCUUCAUGGAAAUAAAUAAAUU